GAUUUCUGACGAAACUGCUAGCUGGCCCGCCACGCAAGUGUGUGAGUGCCGGCUUGGCGUUUGUCAUCCGUUCGAAUGAUAUGCGUGCUGCCCUUCACUGGGUUGGCGCUGCAUGUUUUCGAUCUUUUACUUUGAAAAAAUUAGAGUGUUUCAAGCAGGCAUGUUUUGCUAUGAAUACAUUAGCAUGGAAUAAUAAUUUAGGACUUCGGUUCUAUUUUGUUGGUUUCUAGGACUGAAGUAAUGAUUGAUAGGGACAGUUGGGGGUGCUAGUAUUCCGCGGCCAGAGGUGAAAUUCUUGGAUUCGCGGAAGACUAACUACUGCGAAAGCAUU
rnacentral:rRNA from 1 species